UACGGAGGGUGCAAGCAUUAAUCGGAUUUAUUGGGCGUAAAGGGCGCGUAGGCGGGGAUAUAAGUCAGAUGUGAAAUCCCGAGGCUCAACCUCGGAACUGCAUUUGAAACUGUAUUCCUUGAGGAUAGGAGGAGAAAACGGAAUUCCACAAGUAGCGGUGAAAUGCGUAGAUAUGUGGAAGAACAUCUGUGGCGAAGGCGGUUUUCUAUCUUACUCCUGACGCUGAGGCGCGAAAGCAAGGGGAUCAAACAGG
rnacentral:rRNA from 1 species